ACGAACGCUGGCGGCGUGCUUAACACAUGCAAGUCGAGCGGUAAGGCCCUUUCGGGGGUACACGAGCGGCGAACGGGUGAGUAACACGUGGGUGACCUGCCCUCAGCUCUGGGAUAAGCCUGGGAAACCGGGUCUAAUACUGGAUAUGACUCCAUGACGCAUGUUGUGGGGUGGAAAGCCUUGUGCGGCUGAGGAUGGGCCCGCGGCCCAUCAGCUUGUUGGUGGGGNGAUGGCCUACCAAGGCGACGACGGGUAGCCGGCCUGAGAGGGCGACCGGCACACUGGGACUGAGACACGGCCCAGACCCCUACGGGAGGGCA
rnacentral:rRNA from 1 species